GUCCCUGUAGCGCAAUGGAAAGCGCAUUGGACUUCUAAUCCAAAGGUGGUGGGUUCGAAUCCCACCUGGGAUG